AUGCCAGAAGCUUGGAUCUCCGACGGAGAUGCAGUUUUCACCAGCAAAGUUUGGCAAGUGAUAUUCAGGCUGCAAGGCGUCGAACUGAAGAUGAGCUCAUCCCACCACCCCCAAACUGACGGGCAAACCGAGCACGUAAAUCAGUGCCUAGAAACAUAUCUUCGUUGCUUCAUUUAGAGUGCGUCGAGGAACUAGAGCAAAUGCUUGGCAUUGGCAGAGUUUUGGUACAAUUCAGCUUUCCAUUCUACCAUGGGUAAAACUCCAUUCAUGGUGGUCUAUGGGAAAGAGCCACGGCAACUGGGCAUCACUCCUGACCACAUUACACCAAUGCCAGAACUCAAUGCUUGGCUCAAGGAGAGGCAACAGAUGCAAGAUGUUCUUCGUCAGCACUUGGUGCGAGCAAAACAAAUCAUGAAAGCCCAAGCCGACAAACGUCGCUCCUGGCGGGAAUUUCAAGUUGGGGAUCAAGCAUUUCUGAAACUGCAACCAUACAUCCAAACUUCAGUUGCUCACCGCGCCAACCACAAGCUUAGCUUCAAGUUUUUUGGGCCAUUUCCAAUGAUCAAGCGCGUCAACGAAGUCACCUAUGAGCUCCAGUUACCCGCCAACUCAUUGAUAUUCCCGGUGUUUCAUGUCUCCCAACUCAGGCAUGCUCUAACCCCUGGCAAGUGCUUAUUCUCAUAUACCUGCAGCCACAAACGUCAUCAACACACCGUCCAAGCUAAUGGAUCAUUGUUGGCGCCGCGACACACGCAAGAUACGUGA
rnacentral:rRNA from 1 species